rnacentral:rRNA from 1 species
UACGAAGGUCCCAAGCGUUGUUCGGAAUCACUGGGCGUAAAGGGAGCGUAGGCGGCGUGGUAAGUCAGAUGUGAAAUCCCGGGGCUCAACCCCGGAACUGCAUCCGAUACUGCCAUGCUAGAGGAUUGGAGAGGUAGCUGGAAUUCUUGGUGUAGCGGUGAAAUGCGCAGAUAUCAGGAGGAACACCGGUGGCGAAGGCGGAUCUCUGGGCCUGUCCUGACGCUGAGGCGCGAAAGCUAGGGGAGCGAACAGG